rnacentral:lncRNA from 1 species
AAAAAGGAGAAUUUAUGUGGAGAAGACGAGAGGAAGAAGAAGAUUAGAGGGAGUUUUGAAGGAAGAGGACAAGAGAAAUGGAUGAGAGGAGAAGAGAAGGAAGGAGAUUAGGAAGAGAGACUCUGUCACUUAGACCAAAAUUUCUCUCUCGACCUGUCUCCCGCGCUCGGUCGAUAUCUUGGACGAAUGCCUUCUCUUUUAUUUAUAGACGAGGAAAGAAACUAUGCGGAC